AAAACUUCGGUCACCAGCACCUAUAACUCAACUAUACCAAAACGUCACCGAACCUUUAGUGUGCAGACCCUGCGGUUUCAAGAACUAUGCAGACAUGACCUGAGACACUCUCCGGUCAAUAUGAAAUAGCGGGACCUGGAUGUCCAUAUUGGAUCCUACAUAUUCUACGAAGAUCUUAUCGGUUGAACCUCUGUGCCAAGGAUUCAUA
rnacentral:lncRNA from 1 species